GUUGGGUAGGGGAGCGUUCUGUAAGCCUGCGAAGGUGGCCUGUGAGGGUUGCUGGAGGUAUCAGAAGUGCGAAUGCUGACAUAAGUAACGAUAAAGCGGGUGAAAAGCCCGCUCGCCGGAAGACCAAGGGUUCCUGUCCAACGUUAAUCGGGGCAGGGUGAGUCGACCCCUAAGGCGAGGCCGAAAGGCGUAGUCGAUGGGAAACGGGUUAAUAUUCCCGUACUUGGUGUUACUGCGAAGGGGGGACGGAGAAGGCUAUGUUGGCCGGGCGACGGUUGUCCCGGUUUAAGCGUGUAGGUGUGUGUUCCAGGUAAAUCCGGUUCACUUUAACACUGAGGCGUGACGACGAGGCACUACGGUGCUGAAGCAACAAAUGCCCUGCUUCCAGGAAAAGCCUCUAAGCAUCAGGUAACAUCAAAUCGUACCCCAAACCGACACAGGUGGUCAGGUAGAGAAUACCAAGGCGCUUGAGAGAACUCGGGUGAAGGAACUAGGCAAAAUGGUGCCGUAACUUCGGGAGAAGGCACGCUGACACGUAGGUGAAGUGAUUUACUCAUGGAGCUGAAGUCAGUCGAAGAUACCAGCUGGCUGCAACUGUUUAUUAAAAACACAGCACUGUGCAAACACGAAAGUGGACGUAUACGGUGUGACGCCUGCCCGGUGCCGGAAGGUUAAUUGAUGGGGUCAGCGCAAGCGAAGCUCCUGAUCGAAGCCCCGGUAAACGGCGGCCGUAACUAUAACGGUCCUAAGGUAGCGAAAUUCCUUGUCGGGUAAGUUCCGACCUGCACGAAUGGCGUAAUGAUGGCCAGGCUGUCUCCACCCGAGACUCAGUGAAAUUGAACUCGCUGUGAAGAUGCAGUGUACCCGCGGCAAGACGGAAAGACCCCGUGAACCUUUACUAUAGCUUGACACUGAACAUUGAGCCUUGAUGUGUAGGAUAGGUGGGAGGCUUUGAAGUGUGGACGCCAGUCUGCAUGGAGCCGACCUUGAAAUACCACCCUUUAAUGUUUGAUGUUCUAACGUGGACCCGUUACCCGGGUUGCGGACAGUGUCUGGUGGGUAGUUUGACUGGGGCGGUCUCCUCCUAAAGAGUAACGGAGGAGCACGAAGGUUGGCUAAUCCUGGUCGGACAUCAGGAGGUUAGUGCAAUGGCAUAAGCCAGCUUGACUGCGAGCGUGACGGCGCGAGCAGGUGCGAAAGCAGGUCAUAGUGAUCCGGUGGUUCUGAAUGGAAGGGCCAUCGCUCAACGGAUAAAAGGUACUCCGGGGAUAACAGGCUGAUACCGCCCAAGAGUUCAUAUCGACGGCGGUGUUUGGCACCUCGAUGUCGGCUCAUCACAUCCUGGGGCUGAAGUAGGUCCCAAGGGUAUGGCUGUUCGCCAUUUAAAGUGGUACGCGAGCUGGGUUUAGAACGUCGUGAGACAGUUCGGUCCCUAUCUGCCGUGGGCGCUGGAGAACUGAGGGGGGCUGCUCCUAGUACGAGAGGACCGGAGUGGACGCAUCACUGGUGUUCGGGUUGUCAUGCCAAUGGCACUGCCCGGUAGCUAAAUGCGGAAGAGAUAAGUGCUGAAAGCAUCUAAGCACGAAACUUGCCCCGA
rnacentral:rRNA from 2 species